AUACUCACCUGGCAGGGGAGACACCGUGGUCAUGGAGGUGGCUUUCCCAGGGCGAGGCUCACCCACCGCGCUCCGGGGGUGCUGACCCCUGCCAUUUCCCCAAACGUGGGAAACUCGACCGUACAGAUUCUGGUAGUGGAGGCUGCAUUCACGCUCGCCCCUG